GGGGAAUUAGCUCAGUUGGCUAGAGCGCUACGCUGGCAGCGUCGAGGCCACCGGUUCGAAUCCGGUAUUCUCCA
rnacentral:tRNA from 1 species